ACUCCUGCGGGAGGCAGCAGUGGGGAAUCUUGCGCAAUGGGCGAAAGCCUGACGCAGCCAUGCCGCGUGAAUGAUGAAGGUCUUAGGAUUGUAAAAUUCUUUCACCGGGGACGAUAAUGACGGUACCCGGAGAAGAAGCCCCGGCUAACUUCGUGCCAGCAGCCGCGGUAAUACGAAGGGGGCUAGCGUUGCUCGGAAUUACUGGGCGUAAAGGGAGCGUAGGCGGACAUUUAAGUCAGGGGUGAAAUCCCGGGGCUCAACCUCGGAAUUGCCUUUGAUACUGGGUGUCUUGAGUAUGAGAGAGGUGUGUGGAACUCCGAGUGUAGAGGUGAAAUUCGUAGAUAUUCGGAAGAACACCAGUGGCGAAGGCGACACACUGGCUCAUUACUGACGCUGAGGCUCGAAAGCGUGGGGAGCAAACAGGAUUAGAAACCCCGGUAGUCCC
rnacentral:rRNA from 1 species